rnacentral:rRNA from 1 species
UACAGAGGGUGCUAGCGUUGUUCGGAAUUACUGGGCGUAAAGCGCGUGCAGGCGGCCUUGCAAGUCGGACGUGAAAUCCCACGGCUCAACCGUGGAAGUGCAUUCGAAACUGCGAGGCUGGAGUCCUGGAGAGGAAAGUGGAAUACUCGGUGUAGAGGUGAAAUUCGUAGAUAUCGAGUGGAACACCGGUGGCGAAGGCGGCUACCUGGACCGGUUCUGACGCUGAUGCGCGAAAGCGUGGGUAGCAAACAGG